GUUAGUCUAAAUGUUGAGGUCUUUUUUCCACUUGGACACUAUGUAGGUUAAUUUUGUAUUUUCAAUGUAGAUUCAAUGUUUGUAGUUUUCUGUCUUCCUUGCACAUGAGGGAAUACUCAUCUACAUACACGCUUUAUUCUGUCACUUCGAUUUAAUCUUAAAAUGUAAUAAUGAUUGUAAAUGGAUGUGGAUGUAGAUUAUCAUAUGAAAAGUAUAAAUGUUUUUCUGCAUCAAUUAUAUUUCCUUUGGAUAGUCCUGAUAGUUUUUUCUGUUAUUUGGGAUCGGGAACAUGUGGUGUGGUGAUGCCAUGUCCUGCUUCUUCAUCAAAUGCAAUAAAGACUAGUUCUGUGUUGUGUUUGGUUACUGAGUCCUUGUUAAUAUGUAGAAUUUUAAACCUUGGACUCAUUUACUUAUACAGGCUCAAUUUGCGCAAAUGCGCCCUCUUGCAAUUGCACCCUCUGCUGCUCCUCGUGUGCCAUUGUAUCCCCCUGGUGGUCCAGGUAUUGGUCAACAGAUAUUUUAUGGUCAAGGCCCUCCUGCUAUGAUUCCUUCCCAGGUAAACGCUUAUAUAGUGCAUCUAGUUAGACUUUAUUUCUUGAGUUCGGGAGUGAAUUGCAAUUUUAUCCCUCUGAUUUUGUUCGUUUGUCAUUGAGUAAUUUCAUCAACAAUCUUUUGCCUGACCUUGAAAUUUGUCAGCCUGGGUUUGGGUAUCAACAACAACUUGUGCCUGGUUUGAGGCCCGGUGGAGCUCCUGUGCCAAAUUUCUUUUUGCCAAUGGUUCAGCAGGGAC
rnacentral:lncRNA from 1 species